rnacentral:lncRNA from 1 species
GAGAAGAAAGUAGAAUUCCCUUUGGUAAACACACACAGCUCGCCCACACACUUUGUUUUCUAGCUCUAACCUUUCUCUCUUCUGUUCCUCUUUCUAUCUCUCUUAAUUUCCCUAUGUUUUUCCUCUUAAACUCAAGUGUUCUCUCUCUCUCUCUCACCGAAGGAAGAAGAUGAAGACCAAAAUGGGAAGCUUUUAAGUGGGCUUCCCUUUUGUUUUCAACCCUCGGAUCACAUGCUUGUAAUCCGAGCCGUUUAAACCCAAAGGUGGCCAGCCAAUUGGAGGAGAGGAAGUUGUGACAACAACAGCUAGCUGGGCAACAUG